rnacentral:rRNA from 1 species
AGAUGCUCAACAUCUGACUUGCAGCGCGAACUGGCUGACUUGAGUACACACAACGUAGGCGGAAUUCAUGGUGUAGCGGUGAAAUGCUUAGAUAUCAUGAAGAACUCCGAUUGCGAAGGCAGCUUACGGGAGUGUUACUGACGCUUAAGCUCGAAGGUGCGGGUAUCGAACAGGAUUAGAUACCCUGGUAGUCCGCACAGUAAACGAUGGAUGCCCGCUGUUAGCACCUGGUGUUAGCGGCUAAGCGAAAGCAUUAAGCAUCCCACCUGGGGAGUACGCCGGCAACGGUGAAACUCAAAGGAAUUGACGGGGGCCCGCACAAGCGGAGGAACAUGUGGUUUAAUUCGAUGAUACGCGAGGAACCUUACCCGGGCUUGAAUUGUAGGAGCACGAUACAGAGAUGUUGAGGUCCUUCGGGACUCCUAUGAAGGUGCUGCAUGGUUGUCGUCAGCUCGUGCCGUGAGGUGUCGGCUUAAGUGCCAUAACGAGCGCAACCCCUUUCCUUAGUUGCCAUCAGGUAAUGCUGGGCACUCUGAGGAUACUGCCACCGUAAGGUGUGAGGAAGGUGGGGAUGACGUCAAAUCAGCACGGCCCUUACGUCCGGGGCUACACACGUGUUACAAUGGCCGGUACAGAAUGUUGGUUUCAUGCAAAUGUAAUCUAAUCUUUAAAGCCGGUCCCAGUUCGGACUGAGGUCUGCAACCCGACCUCACGAAGCUGGAUUCGCUAGUAAUCGCGCAUCAGCCAUGGCGCGGUGAAUACGUUCCCGGGCCUUGUACACACCGCCCGUCAAGCCAUGAAAGCCGGGGGUGCCUGAAGUUCGUAACCGCAAGGAGCGACCUAGGG